rnacentral:rRNA from 1 species
UACGAAGGGGGCUAGCGUUGCUCGGAAUUACUGGGCGUAAAGGGCGCGUAGGCGGCCUGCUAAGUCGAACGUGAAAUCCCCGGGCUCAACCCGGGAACUGCGUCCGAUACUGGCAGGCUUGAAUCCGGGAGAGGGAUGUGGAAUUCCAGGUGUAGCGGUGAAAUGCGUAGAUAUCUGGAGGAACACCGGUGGCGAAGGCGGCAUCCUGGACCGGCAUUGACGCUGAGGCGCGAAAGCCAGGGGAGCAAACGGG